rnacentral:snRNA from 1 species
GGAUGUGAGGGUGAUCUGGCUGCGACAUCUGUCACCACAGAGAGGGUCGAUUCUGCUGAUCUGGCUGGCUAGGGGGGUGUCCCCUUCCUCCCUCACAGCUCCAAGUGGAUCCUUCCCGAAGCUGCUCACUUGGUUGAAGAAGAUGACAACUCCUGAUAGAGGAGGACCAUCGUGAAUUCUAA